rnacentral:misc_RNA from 1 species
CCCAACUAUCCCUAUUAAUCAUUACGUCAAUCCUAGAAACCAACAAAAUAAGAUCGAACGUCCUAUUUCGUUAUUCCAUGCUAAUGUAUUCAAGCGUUAGCCUGCUUUAAACACUCUAAUUUUUUCAAAGUAACAGUCCAGACUCCCCGCAACACCAAAUUAAUGGCAUUACGGUUCAUCAGGAAGGAGGAAUCAGUAAGACCAGUGCAUACCUGUGGCAUGACCAGCCUACUAACCCCGAAAUUCAACUACGAGCUUUUUAACUGCAACAACUUUAAUAUACGCUAUUGGAGCUGGAAUUACCGCGGCUGCUGGCACCAGACUUGCCCUCAA